GAGUAAUGUCUGGGAAACUGCCUGAUGGAGGGGGAUAACUACUGGAAACGGUGGCUAAUACCGCAUAACGUCGCAAGACCAAAGAGGGGGACCUUCGGGCCUCUUGCCAUCAGAUGUGCCCAGAUGGGAUUAGCUUGUUGGUGAGGUAACGGCUCACCAAGGCGACGAUCCCUAGCUGGUCUGAGAGGAUGACCAGCCACACUGGAACUGAGACACGGUCCAGACUCCUACGGGAGGCAGCAGUGGGGAAUAUUGCACAAUGGGCGCAAGCCUGAUGCAGCCAUGCCGCGUGUAUGAAGAAGGCCUUCGGGUUGUAAAGUACUUUCAGCGGGGAGGAAGGUGUUGUGGUUAAUAACCGCAGCAAUUGACGUUACCCGCAGAAGAAGCACCGGCUAACUCCGUGCCAGCAGCCGCGGUAAUACGGAGGGUGCAAGCGUUAAUCGGAAUUACUGGGCGUAAAGCGCACGCAGGCGGUCUGUCAAGUCGGAUGUGAAAUCCCCGGGCUCAACCUGGGAACUGCAUUCGAAACUGGCAGGCUUGAGUCUUGUAGAGGGGGGUAGAAUUCCAGGUGUAGCGGUGAAAUGCGUAGAGAUCUGGAGGAAUACCGGUGGCGAAGGCGGCCCCCUGGACAAAGACUGACGCUCAGGUGCGAAAGCGUGGGGAGCAAACAGGAUUAGAUACCCUGGUAGUCCACGCCGUAAACGAUGUCUACUUGGAGGUUGUGCCCUUGAGGCGUGGCUUCCGGAGCUAACGCGUUAAGUAGACCGCCUGGGGAGUACGGCCGCAAGGUUAAAACUCAAAUGAAUUGACGGGGGCCCGCACAAGCGGUGGAGCAUGUGGUUUAAUUCGAUGCAACGCGAAGAACCUUACCUGGUCUUGACAUCCACGGAAGUUUUCAGAGAUGAGAAUGUGCCUUCGGGAACCGUGAGACAGGUGCUGCAUGGCUGUCGUCAGCUCGUGUUGUGAAAUGUUGGGUUAAGUCCCGCAACGAGCGCAACCCUUAUCCUUUGUUGCCAGCGGUCCGGCCGGGAACUCAAAGGAGACUGCCAGUGAUAAACUGGAGGAAGGUGGGGAUGACGUCAAGUCAUCAUGGCCCUUACGACCAGGGCUACACACGUGCUACAAUGGCGCAUACAAAGAGAAGCGACCUCGCGAGAGCAAGCGGACCUCAUAAAGUGCGUCGUAGUCCGGAUUGGAGUCUGCAACUCGACUCCAUGAAGUCGGAAUCGCUAGUAAUCGUGGAUCAGAAUGCCACGGUGAAUACGUUCCCGGGCCUUGUACACACCGCCCGUCACACCAUGGGAGUGGGUUGCAAAAGAAGUAGGUAGCUUAACCUUCGGGAGGGCGCUUACCACUUUGUGAUUCAUGACUGGGGUGAAGUCGUAACAAGGUAACCGUAGGGGAACCUGCGGUUGGAUCACCUCCUUACCUUAAAGAA
rnacentral:rRNA from 1 species